UUACAACCCCUUUAACGGUAACUUGAGGUUGGAUAAGAAAAUUCUCCGAGAUACUAUAGAGGGUUUGCAAGAUGAUCCAAGUUCUUGAAUUUCCAAAAGAAGUUCGCUCCCUUCAUCAAUUAGACGCUCAUAAUCCGUUCAAGACGGUGUUGAGGAAAUCAAGUUUCCAUCCAAGAAGUUUUAUUGCUUUGAAAAGCACGUUUUUCUCUCCAGUUUGUAUUAAGACGGUCAAUCAAGGGGACUGUUCAGUUGUACGAAAGGAUGCCUUUGGUGAGCGUGAAAAAUAUAAUGCUUUUCCACAUGUACAAACUCUUAGAAACUUUCCCAAGGAGGACCUAUCCAAGAAAGUUGUCAUGGUCAGAUUCGAUCCAAUGAUAUUGGUUCAAGGGAAAAAGGAAGUUCGAACGCCCUUUCCAGAAAAUGCUUUAUACACAAUUAAGUAUUUAUAUGAAGCAGGUGCAAAAGUAAUUCUGGUGAGCUGCUGGAGUGAAACUGCUACUUCCAGGUCUCUUUCAAAUUCAAAUUCAUCAGCUGAAUAUAUUUCAGAUUUUCUGUCGUCAAUGCUACAACUCAAGGUCGUUCCAGUGAAUUAUGCUUCAGGUUAUUUGCAUUCAGAUGAAGAAGAUAUUGCAAGAGAUGUAAUUCUUCUUCUUGAAAACAUUUUUCACUUCAAGGGGGAAAGAUCCAACUGUUCAAACUUUGCCAAAGAGCUUGCAUCUGGUGUUGAUAUACUUGUUAAUGAUGCCUUCUCUGAAUCACAUAAAGUUCUCGCUUCAACUGUUGGCAUUGCUACUUUUUGCUCUGCUUGCAUUGCAGGAUUCUACUUUGAGGAGUGUAUAUAUAAACUGAAGAAUAUCAUGAACACCACUGAAAAGCCUUAUAUGGUCGUCAUAGGCGGGGCCAAACUUGCAGAUAAAGCUGCUGCCAUGAGGUUCUUAGCAUCUACAUGUGAUGGCUUAUUCUUUGUUGGAAAGAUGUCAUUUCAAAUAAUGCAUGCCAUGGGAUGGCCUGUUCCAUUGCACUUGAUUGAAAUUGGCUCGGUAAACGAAGCUAGAGGUAUAGUGGAGGUGGCAAAGUCAAGAAAUAUUCCAGUUGUACUUCCAACUGAUGUUUGGUGCAUCAAGGAACAUACUCGAAUCCAGACCGAACUAUUUUCAGUUUGUUCUAUACCUGAAGGUUGGCAGCCAGUUGAUAUUGGAUCAAGAUCAGUGCACGAAAUGCUAAAUUUACUGUCACAAUGCAAGGGGAAUACUUCUAGAGUGAAGAAAAUAUUGUGGAUUGGCCCAUUGAUUUCGAGCUCUUCAAAACAGGAAAAAGGUGGAACCCUUAAACUUGCAGAAGCACUUGAUGGUCUUAGCAGUUGCAAUGUAACUUUUGCUGGGAAAACAGGAUUCAGUGAAUUCUUGCAGAAAACAAAGUUUCGUUCAAGCAAUAAAUUCUUAAAAAAUGCUGUGGUGCUGUGGGAAGUUCUUAAGGGAAGUAGGCUUCCUGGGCUCAUGGCAUUAGAUAGGGCAUACCCCUUACAGAUAGACUGGAGCGUUGCCUAUAAUGAUCCAACAAGACCUCUGGUUGUAGACAUUGGAAGUGGAAAUGGAUUGUUUUUAUUUGGAAUGUCAACAAGGAUAAAAGAUGUGAAUUUUCUUGGACUAGAGAUAAAUACCAAGCUGGUUGAUCAAUGCGUAAAUAAUGUUCAGCGACUCGCCAGCGAUAAUGUGCACUUUGUUGCAACAAAUGCGACAUCAACCUUCAGGUCUAUAGUUUCUACUUACCCCGGGGAGUUGCAUCUUGUGUCAAUACAGUGUCCAAACCCAGAUUUCAAUAAACCCGAAUACAGGUGGAGAAUGCUGCAGAAGUCCUUGAUUGAAGCAAUAGGUGAUGUGCUCAUGGUUGGUGGAAAGGUAUUUCUUCAAUCGGAUGUACAAGCUGUUGCCCUUAAAAUGAAAAUUGAUUUCCUAAGAUAUGGCAAGGGAAGGCUUGUACUUAUGGAUUCCCCAGAGGAGAGGGUAUGUAAUGAAAAAUCAGGCUGGCUGGAGGAUAAUCCCUUUGGAGUGCCUUCUGAUUGGGAACAACAUGUACUGGAGCGCGGCCAUCCAAUGUACAGAAUUUUGCUUCUUAAAGUGGAAACAGAGGUAAAUGACAAGCCAUAACCUAUACCUGGACAUCCCAUUGGAUAUGAGUUUUGGAUGAGCAAUCUCAUGGGCAGCCUUAUUCAACCUUUUUUUCAUUCAGUUUAUUCUCAAACUAAUGAUGAUUAAACAUUACCUUGAUCAUUGCAACUUUGAUGGUGAUACUACAUGUGAGACAUCAUAAGAGACGGUGGCACGACAAACAAGGUUACUGCUCAACGAAUUACGCAGAGUCAGAUGCUGUUCUCUUGUUUAUGGUAAAUUCAAUUUUAAGCUACUGUUGCCAUCCAUAGUUAUCAUAUAUGCCACAAGCAUGAUGAAGCCUAUUGUUAUUUGCUCUAGGUUUUAGCUAAAUAUAUUAGAGAAUGUGGAUAAUUUGUUGCAAUUCAUAAAAGUUCUGGGUAAUUCCUU